rnacentral:rRNA from 1 species
AUGAACGCUAGCUACAGGCUUAACACAUGCAAGUCGAGGGGCAGCAUUUCAGUUUGCUUGCAAACUGGAGAUGGCGACCGGCGCACGGGUGAGUAACACGUAUCCAACCUGCCGAUAACUCGGGGAUAGCCUUUCGAAAGAAAGAUUAAUACCCGAUGGUAUAAUCAGACCGCAUGGUCUUGUUAUUAAAGAAUUUCGGUUAUCGAUGGGGAUGCGUUCCAUUAGGCAGUUGGUGAGGUAACGGCUCACCAAACCUUCGAUGGAUAGGGGUUCUGAGAGGAAGGUCCCCCACAUUGGAACUGAGACACGGUCCAAACUCCUACGGGAGGCAGCAGUGAGGAAUAUUGGUCAAUGGGCGCAGGCCUGAACCAGCCAAGUAGCGUGAAGGAUGACUGCCCUAUGGGUUGUAAACUUCUUUUAUAUGGGAAUAAAGUUUUCCACGUGUGGAAUUUUGUAUGUACCAUAUGAAUAAGGAUCGGCUAACUCCGUGCCAGCAGCCGCGGUAAUACGGAGGAUCCGAGCGUUAUCCGGAUUUAUUGGGUUUAAAGGGAGCGUAGGUGGACAGUUAAGUCAGUUGUGAAAGUUUGCGGCUCAACCGUAAAAUUGCAGUUGAUACUGGCUGUCUUGAGUACAGUAGAGGUGGGCGGAAUUCGUGGUGUAGCGGUGAAAUGCUUAGAUAUCACGAAGAACUCCGAUUGCGAAGGCAGCUCACUGGACUGCAACUGACACUGAUGCUCGAAAGUGUGGGUAUCAAACAGGAUUAGAUACCCUGGUAGUCCACACAGUAAACGAUGAAUACUCGCUGUUUGCGAUAUACAGUAAGCGGCCAAGCGAAAGCAUUAAGUAUUCCACCUGGGGAGUACGCCGGCAACGGUGAAACUCAAAGGAAUUGACGGGGGCCCGCACAAGCGGAGGAACAUGUGGUUUAAUUCGAUGAUACGCGAGGAACCUUACCCGGGCUUAAAUUGCAUUUGAAUAUAUUGGAAACAGUAUAGCCGUAAGGCAAAUGUGAAGGUGCUGCAUGGUUGUCGUCAGCUCGUGCCGUGAGGUGUCGGCUUAAGUGCCAUAACGAGCGCAACCCUUAUCUUUAGUUACUAACAGGUCAUGCUGAGGACUCUAGAGAGACUGCCGUCGUAAGAUGUGAGGAAGGUGGGGAUGACGUCAAAUCAGCACGGCCCUUACGUCCGGGGCUACACACGUGUUACAAUGGGGGGUACAGAAGGCAGCUACCUGGUGACAGGAUGCUAAUCCCAAAAGCUCUCUCUCAGUUCGGAUCGAAGUCUGCAACCCGACUUCGUGAAGCUGGAUUCGCUAGUAAUCGCGCAUCAGCCAUGGCGCGGUGAAAUACGUUCCCGGGCC